GACGAACGCUGGCGGCGUGCUUAACACAUGCAAGUCGAACGGAAAGGCCCUGCUUUUGUGGGGUGCUCGAGUGGCGAACGGGUGAGUAACACGUGAGUAACCUGCCCUUGACUUUGGGAUAACUUCAGGAAACUGGGGCUAAUACCGGAUAGGAGCUCCUGCUGCAUGGUGGGGGUUGGUAAGUUUCGGCGGUUGGGGAUGGACUCGCGGCUUAUCAGCUUGUUGGUGGGGUAGUGGCUUACCAGGGCUUUGACGGGUAGCCGGCCUGCGAGGGUGACCGGCCACAAUGGGACUGGGGUACGGCCCAGACGCCUACGGGAGGAAGCGGUGGGGAAUAUUGCACAAUGGGCGGAAGCAUGAUGCAGCAACGCCGCGUGCGGGAUGACGGCCUUCGGGUUGUAAACCGCUUUCGCCUGUGACGAAGCGUGAGUGACGGUAAUGGGUAAAGAAGCAACGGCUAACUACGUG
rnacentral:rRNA from 1 species